CCUACGGGAGACAGCAGUGGGGAAUAUUGCGCAAUGGGGGCAACCCUGACGCAGCAACGCCGCGUGAUUGAAGAAGGCCUUCGGGUUGUAAAGAUCUUUCAUCGGGGACGAGUUUUGACGGUACCCAAAGAAUAAGCUCCGGCUAACUACGUGCAGGCAGCCGCGGUAAAACGUAGGGAGCAAGCGUUAUCCGGAUUUACUGGGUGUAAGGGGCGUGUAGACGGGCAUGCAAGCCUGAAGUGAAAUCUGGGGGCUCAACCCCCAAACUGCUUUUGGAACUGCGUGUCUUGAGUGCUGGAGAGGCAGGCGGAAUUCCUAGUGUAGCGGUGAAAUGCGUAGAUAUUGGGAGGAACACCAGUGGCGAAGGCGGCCUGCUGGACAUUAACUGACGCUGAGGCGCGAAAGCGUGGGGAGCAAACAGGAUUAGAUACCCCAGUAGUC
rnacentral:rRNA from 1 species